ACUUGUGGCCAUACCACCCUGAACACGCCUGAUCUCAUCUGAUCUCAAUAGCUAAACAGGGUCGGGCCUGGUUAGUACUUGGAUGGGAGACCUCCUGGGAAUACCAGGUGCUGUAAAUU